CUAGUUAUUUUCAAGGCCUUUUUGCAUAAAAAAUCUACUUAUUUUGGGCUUUUGCAAAACCGGGUCACCUUUUUCGUUUUUGCAGAUUCGGUCCGCUUUUUCAGCAAACUGACCAAAAUACCUUAUUACUUUUUCUCUUUCCUCUUUCUCUCUCCUCUUCGUUUCUGUCGUUCUUUUUUUUUUUUUCUCGCCGAAAAAAAAAAGGCGGACCAUCGCCUUCUUCUUCACCGUCGCCUCCCUCCUCACCAUCCUUCUUCACCGUCGCCCACCACCCCACCCUUCUCUCCACCGCCCGCGACCCCCUCCUCCUCUCCUCCGCCGCCGCGGACCCCCAACCCGAUCCCGUCGCGGCGGCGGCAGCGGCCGCGGCGAACGGGGUCGGGCUGGAUGCGGAGAAGAAGACAACGGCGAAGAAGAAGAAGGGGAGGCCAAGCGGUAGGGCGCAGGAGGGGAAGGCGGAAGCGCAACCGGCGCCGGCACCAGCGCAGCGCGUGUUCUUCUCCGUCGGCGCUGCCCCUCCUCCCGCCGCCGCGCAGAAGCCGCCGACCAGCGCCUCUGCUUCUCCCACGACGACGUCAAGACGCCGCGUCCGCCGCGGACCCCCAGCCCGAUCCCGUCGCCGCAGCGGCAGCGGCCGCGGCGAACGGGGUCGGACUGUUUUUUAUUUUAAACUGCACCAUUUAAGAGAUAUUUAUACUGCUUCUCCUCUGUUGCACUGUUUCUCCUCUUAUUGCACUGUUUCUCCGUCUUUAAGAGGAAAAAGUGCAACAAGAGAAGAAACAGUGGACAAGAGGAGAAGCAGUAUAAAUAUUCUCUAAAUGGGUGCAGUUUAAGAUAAAUGAGUGCAGUUUUUUUUCUUGUUUGCACCAUUUUUUCUCUGUUACACUGUUUUUUAUUUUAAACUACACAUUUUUAAGAGAUAUUUAUACUUGCUUCUACUCUUGUUGCACUGUUUCUCCUCUUGUUGCACUGUUUCUCCUCUUU
rnacentral:lncRNA from 1 species